GCCAAACAUAAAAGGUGGAAUUAAAACACGGUGCCCUGGCUCUGAAAUCUUGCCUCUUCCCACCCCACCUGCAGUUUAUAGUGAAACCUUUUUUAAGAGCAUCAUGGGACGUUGGAUAGAAAUCCUUGAUCUUCUAGUUCUGAGGCACAUGUAAUUAUUUCACAGGUGUUCACUUGGCAAGAGACUCCUAAUCCAGAAACCGUUCCAGCACGGGGAUAAGUUUUUCUAAGCAGCAAAUGACUACAAACACAUCUGCAUUGACAAGUCACAACUUAUAUCCUUCUAUGGUGUUUCUGCUCUUUUGAAAAUGUUAAUAAAAACUUAAUGUGGAAAAAAAACAACUUUUUCCAAAUAUGUGUACCAAUAAGCCUGAGGCAACUCAUACUUUCUUAUAAAAUAAAGUAGGUCACUCACAUCAA